AUUGAACGCUGGCAGCAUGCUUUACACAUGCAAGUCGAACGGUAACAGGCCGCAAGGUGCUGACGAGUGGCGAACGGGUGCGUAAUGCAUCGGAACGUGCCCAGUCGUGGGGGAUAACUACUCGAAAGAGUAGCUAAUACCGCAUACGAUCUAUGGAUGAAAGCGGGGGACCGUAAGGCCUCGCGCGAUUGGAGCGGCCGAUGUCAGAUUAGGUAGUUGGUGGGGUAAAGGCUCACCAAGCCAACGAUCUGUAGCUGGUCUGAGAGGACGACCAGCCACACUGGGACUGAGACACGGCCCAGACUCCUACGGGAGGCAGCAGUGGGGAAUUUUGGACAAUGGGCGCAAGCCUGAUCCAGCAAUGCCGCGUGCAGGAAGAAGGCCUUCGGGUUGUAAACUGCUUUUGUACGGAACGAAACGGCUCUGGUUAAUACCCGGGGCUAAUGACGGUACCGUAAGAAUAAGCACCGGCUAACUACGUG
rnacentral:rRNA from 1 species